rnacentral:rRNA from 1 species
CGAACGCUGGCGGCGUGCCUACUACAUGCAAGUCGAACGCAUUUUCUUUCACCGUAGCUUGCUACACCGAAAGAAAAUGAGUGGCGAACGGGUGAGUAACACGUGGGUAACCUGCCCAUCAGCGGGGGAUAACACUUGGAAACAGGUGCUAAUACCGCAUAAUUCCAUUUACCGCAUGGUAGAUGGGUGAAAGGCGCUUUUGCGUCACUGAUGGAUGGACCCGCGGUGCAUUAGCUAGUUGGUGGGGUAACGGCCUACCAAGGCUGCGAUGCAUAGCCGACCUGAGAGGGUGAUCGGCCACACUGGGACUGAGACACGGCCCAGACUCCUACGGGAGGCAGCAGUAGGGAAUCUUCGGCAAUGGACGCAAGUCUGACCGAGCAACGCCGCGUGAGUGAAGAAGGUUUUCGGAUCGUAAAACUCUGUUGUUAGAGAAGAACAAGGAUGAGAGUGGAAAGUUCAUCCCUUGACGGUAGCUAAACAGAAAGCCACGGCUAACUACGUG